rnacentral:rRNA from 1 species
AGUAAAUUUUAUGGUCAAGCUACUAAGGGCAAACGGUGGAUGCCUUGGGACUUCGAGGCGAUGAAGGACGUGGAAAGCUGCGAUAAGCGACGGUGAGAAGCACUCAUUCGAUGAACCGUCGAUUUCCGAAUGGGGGAACCCAAUAACUGCCGCCUGAAUACAUAGGGCGGUUAGAGCAAACUCAGGGAAGUGAACCAUCUCAGUACCUGAAGGAAAAGAAAACAAUAGUGAUUCUGCUAGUAGCGGCGAGCGAACGCGGAAAAGCCUAAACCGAUAGGACAUGUCCUGUCGGGGUCGUGGGAUCAGACAUAACGGGAGAAGAAGAUUAACAAAAGUGUAUGGAAAAGCACACCAUAGAGCGUGAUAGUCGCGUAUGUGAAAAUUUUCAACUUCCAGUUUGACACCCGAGUAAUGCGGAACACGAGGAAUUCUGCAUGAAUUUGCCGGGACCAUCCGGUAAGGCUAAAUACUCCGAAGUCACCGAUAGUGAACCAGUACCGUGAGGGAAAGGUGAAAAGAACCCCAGUGAGGGGAGUGAAAUAGUACCUGAAACCGUUUGCUUACAAGCAGUAGGAGGAGCGCAAGCUCUGACUAUGUGCCUUUUGCAUAAUGAGCCGGCUAGUAAAUGUCACAGGCAAGGUUAAACGAUAAGUAAGCCGAAGCGAAAGCGAGUCUUAAUAGGGCGCUUAGUCUGUGGUAUUUGGACGUGAAACGGGAUGAUCUAGGCAUGGGCAGGUUGAAGCGUGGGUAACACCACGUGGAGGACCGAACCAGUAUAGGUUGAAAACUGUUUGGAUGACCUGUGCCUAGGGGUGAAAGGCUAAUCAAAUUCCGUGAUAGCUCGUUCUCGCCGAAAUAGCUUUAGGGCUAGCCUCGGAUUUAUCUUUGCGGUGGUAAAGCACUGAAUGGACUAGGGGCCUCACAAGGUUACCGAAUUCAAUCAAACUCUGAAUGCCGUAAAUGAAUGUCCGGGAGUCAGACUACGGGUGCUAAGAUUCGUGGUCGAGAGGGAAAGAGCCCAGACCAACAGCUAAGGUCCCAAAAUUAUAGUUAAGUGGAAAAGGACGUGGGGAAGCACUGACAGCCAGGAGGUUUGCUUAGAAGCAGCAAUCCUUUAAAGAAAGCGUAAUAGCUCACUGGUCAAGUAGCCCUGCACCGACAAUAUAACGGGGCUCAAACUAUAUACCGAAGCUUUGGAUAUUUUUAAUAUGGUAGGCGAGCAUUCUGUAGCUGUGAAGCGGUUCCGUAAGGUCCGUUGGAGCAAUCAGAAAAGACUUUGUCGGCAUUAGUAGCGAUAACGUAUGUGAGAACCAUACGCACCGAAAACCUAAGGUUUCCUGCGUCAAGUUAAUCUGCGCAGGGUUAGUCUGUACCUAAGGCGAGGGCGAGAGCCGUAGUCGAUGGAAAUCCGGUUAAUAUUCCGGAACUGAGUAACAGUGCUGUGGAGUGACGCAAUAGG